GCAAACUUGGUCAUUUAGAGGAAGUAAAAGUCGUAACAAGGUUUCUGUAGGUGAACCUGCAGAAGGAUCAUUAGUGUAUUGAGCUGGGGCAGCCGCCAAGGGCCGCGCCGGGCUUUCGAGCCCAACUACGGUGCAUGUGCCUGGCUGUCCACCUCACACCCACACCGAUCCAAACCCCUGUGCACACGCUCCUCUGGCGUGCGUUCGCGCAUGCCGGGGAACAAUGAAACACCUAGCCAGUUGAAUGAACGUUAGUGUGUUGGAUCGUAACGACCAACGAAGAAAAACACAACUUUCGACAACGGAUCUCUAGGUUCUCCCAUCGAUGAAGAACGCAGC
rnacentral:misc_RNA from 1 species